AGAGUUCGAUUCUGGCUCAGGAUGAACGCUAGCUACAGGCUUAACACAUGCAAGUCGAGGGGAAACGACAUCGAAAGCUUGCUUUUGGUGGGCGUCGACCGGCGCACGGGUGAGUAACACGUAUCCAACCUUCCGUUUACUCAGGGAUAGCCUUUCGAAAGAAAGAUUAAUACCUGAUAGUAUGGUGAGAUUGCAUGAUAACACCAUUAAAGAUUUAUUGGUAAACGAUGGGGAUGCGUUCCAUUAGGUAGUAGGCGGGGUAACGGCCCACCUAGCCUGCGAUGGAUAGGGGUUCUGAGAGGAAGGUCCCCCACAUUGGAACUGAGACACGGUCCAA
rnacentral:rRNA from 1 species